UGCUCUACAAAAAUGCUAUGAAAAAAGUUGAAUAUUUUCAAUAACAUUGACUUACGACAGCAUGUACAAAAUGCUACAAAAACAAUUUUAUAGCGUUUUCUUAAUAUAAUUAAAAAUGCUAUUGAAAAGUUUUGAUAGCGCUUUUUCAUCCCAAAAAAAUGCUACCAAACCCUUUUAAUAGCGUUUUCUUUCACGCUAUGAAAAGUCUUUAUAGCAACAAAUAUGCUUUAUCACAACAAACUUUUUAUAACAUUUUUAUAGCAUUGUAAAAACGCUGUGGAAAAAUUAUAGACUUUCAAUAACAUGGACUAGACAACAUUUUGAAAACGCUAUCAACAGUCUACGAUAACAUUUUUUAUGCUAACGUAACUAAAAUUUCCUUAGUGUUUAAAUAAGGUUUCUAAAACGAAAAUAUUGAAAAACUGGUACAUAGGUGCGGAAGCAAAACUGAGUCCCCAUAUUGCAUCUAACAGACACUUCCACUAAGUCGCCAGCUUUUCAGAUCCUCUACCUUUUGCUUGAAGUAUUAAACAUAGAAAAGAGUAAGUAUAUAAAAUAUACCUAGUAAGGGACCCACUAUUAGUUCGCUAAGUGAUCUGUUAACUUUUCGUUAGAAACAUAAUAAUAGUGUAGUGUGUUCAAUGGAGCAUACUAAGGCGAUUGACAUUGUAAAAAACACCCCGAAUCGUGUGAGCAAUCCUGUGAACACCCCUAGUUGUGCGAGUGAUCGUCGAUAUACACGAAGUGAGAUAGUACAAACACCCCUAAUCAUGCAAGUGACCCAUAUGAAUACCCCUAGUUGUGUGAGUGAUCGUAGGUACACACUUCUAAACAUGUCUAUGAUAUGUAGCUACACCCCUAAUCAUGUGAGUGGUCCCUUCAGAACAUUCCUAGUUGUGCAACUGACCCCGUAUACACAAUACAACUAUCCCCUAACCAUGUGCGAGUGAUCGUAGAUACACACUGAGUGUGACCAUACAAACAACCCUAAUCAUGAGAGUGACCCAUAGGAAUACCCUUAGUCGUGCGAGUGAUCUUAGAUACACACUUCUAAACAUGUCUAUGAUACGUAGCUAUAUCCCUAAUCAUGCGAGUGGUCCCUUUAGAACAUCCCUAGUUGUGCGAGUGACCCCGUAUCACAGUACAACUAUCACCUAACCGUUCAUUUGAUUCGUAGGAACACCCCUAAAUCGUGUGAGUGGUCUCGUAGAAACACCCUUAGUCGUGCGCAUGACCCCAUAGAUAGUAUCACAAACAGGUGUAGUCAAAGAUCAACAGAUAAAGUUAACAGACACACCACAAUCCAAAGCAUGUUGCAUAUCAUAAAUAUCACAUCCUUAUCAUGUGAUUAAUAUAUCAUGCGUCAUAACAUAUCAGUCAUCAACAUCAACACAUUAUGCAUCUUAGCUACAUCAAUGCAUAAGGAAAAAUACAUGCAAGCUCUUAAUUUUAUGUUUGAAGGUCCAGUAGUAGAAUCUCUUACCUGAGAAAUUAGCUAACAAAUAAUCCCUAGCUGACAGUAAAAAUUCUCUAAUGAAUUCAAUCCUUAGUUAUGUUACGUUCUUUGCUGCAAAUGAAACCACAAUUCCACCUAAAUUUGGAGGUUGAAAAAUUCUCUUAACCUUGAUGGAAAAAUUCAUCACUGAGGUUGAUGAGAACAAAAUUUUAGCAUAGGCCACCGUGUCGUGGGUUGCCUUCAAUGGUAACAUCAACCAGAUUUCUUUAGUCAUGGCUAAGGAUUCAUGUUUCUUUGCCAAAACAUCAGACAUGUUGGCAAGAAUGUAGACACGAGCCUUUUCAUUAACUUUUACCAACCAAUCAUAUGCUUUCCAAAUAGUUCGAUUAGCAUUUGAGAUUGGGGUUUGAGAAAUCUUAAAUCAUCAAUUAGAAGUAUUGUAUUCAAUUGAGAUUUCCAUGCCGCAUAAUUAUUGUUGUUAAGUUUCUCGGAAGCUAAAAGUUGAACUAUAGAGCUAUUCAUGUUGAAAAGAUGAACAUAUUCAUUUAGAAACUAAGAUUAAGUUUGCACUAGAUAUCUAUAAACGAAAUAGUCGAUUUUAUUCAACGGUGUUAUAACCUAAAAGUGACUAUUUCAUGGUUACAGUCUUAUGUAAACUCUUUACAUAGGAUGUCUCCACUUCCAUGUCUACACAUGAAUAAUUUAGAAUCACAUCGUUUGUACGAACUACAAACCAAACCGCAUCCACAGUGUCCCUAGAAUAAGGUGUCCAACCAUAUUCGUAUACUAUAGACUAUUUAGGAUAUAUAUUUGAACUUGAUCCACGUUUAUGUCUCUACAUAAAGUUUGAGUUUACUCAAUAAUAGCUUCGGGUCCUUAGUUUAUUGACUUUAAGAUUACAAUAUCAAUAACGAUUUUAUUGAAUAGAAUAUGAUUACAAACCUACGAGUUUUAUUACAUAAAUUUCAACACCAACCUCAACUUUGCUUUACCCAACUAUCAUAGAAACUCAUAUUUCUUGUUGUGUGAUUUUGAAGAUUUUUAUUACCUUAUGUCUUUGACCUUUGUUAUAGCCUUAUCUGUGUUUUCAACAAAGGAUAUGUUCUUCAAGCAUUGUUGGUGUGUAGAGUGAAUUUUUCUUUUGAGAAAUACCUUAGUGUGAUGUGUGGUGUGUUGAACAUCUUGUUAUUGACAUCAUUGAUUCACUUGAUUGAGACGAUUUGUGAAAGUUAAGGGAGCUUAACAUUGAAAAGUUAUUUUAAGGAGUACCUCUGAGGGGAGCCUAAACAAAGAGACGCAAGGGUAAAGUAUAAACCAUAUGAUCUAGGGGGAGCUUAGGUUGAAUUCUUUGUUCACACAUCAAGUGGUUUAUGGGGAGCCUAAACAAUUAUCUUAUAGUUGUGUAAUACAAGAUAGUUAAUUCUUGAUAAGUUAUGUAUUUGUGAACUCUUUUGAAUUUCAGUAAAUGAUCUUUUCAGUCGAGCUUAAGAUUCUUUAGAUGGAGGGGAUUACACCAAACUGAGUUAUCAUCUUGAUUGUGUUCUAUCUUUUCUGGUUGCUUAUGCUAUUUACUUUGUGUUUGGAGCAAACAUAAUUCUUCAUGUUAUAACAUUGUGUUUUUCAGGUAUCAUAGCUCUUAGAAGCUUCAAAUAAGUAUUCGAUCAAUUAGAAAAAAAUCUAACCCCAAUUGUGAAGAUUGAAUUAGAAACGUGACAAACACUUUAUAAAAAAUGUAUAUAAAGGGUCAAUCGAUUUUAGACAAUAAAUGGGAAACACAGCAGGAGGACAAAUGUAUAUCAGCUAUUAUAAUUUUGAUUGAAGUGGAGGAAUGUGAAUUUGGGUUAUGGAUACCUUGUUGAAAAUUCAAAGAACCUUGGGGUAUGCCGCCG
rnacentral:lncRNA from 1 species